rnacentral:rRNA from 1 species
AGACCCGAAACCCGGUGAUCUAGCCAUGGGCAGGUUGAAGGUUGGGUAACACUAACUGGAGGACCGAACCGACUAAUGUUGAAAAAUUAGCGGAUGACCUGUGGCUGGGGGUGAAAGGCCAAUCAAACCGGGAGAUAGCUGGUUCUCCCCGAAAGCUAUUUAGGUAGCGCCUCGUGAAUUCAUCUCCGGGGGUAGAGCACUGUUUCGGCUAGGGGGCCAUCCCGGCUUACCAACCCGAUGCAAACUGCGAAUACCGGAGAAUGUUAUCACGGGAGACACACGGCGGGUGCUAACGUCCGUCGUGAAGAGGGAAACAACCCAGACCGCCAGCUAAGGUCCCAAAGUCAUGGUUAAGUGGGAAACGAUGUGGGAAGGCCCAGACAGCCAGGAUGUUGGCUUAGAAGCAGCCAUCAUUUAAAGAAAGCGUAAUAGCUCACUGGUCGAGUCGGCCUGCGCGGAAGAUGUAACGGGGCUAAACCAUGCACCGAAGCUGCGGCAGCGACGCUGAUGCGUUGUUGGGUAGGGGAGCGUUCUGUAAGCCUGCGAAGGUGGCCUGUGAGGGUUGCUGGAGGUAUCAGAAGUGCGAAUGCUGACAUAAGUAACGAUAAAGCGGGUGAAAAGCCCGCUCGCCGGAAGACCAAGGGUUCCUGUCCAACGUUAAUCGGGGCAGGGUGAGUCGACCCCUAAGGCGAGGCCGAAAGGCGUAGUCGAUGGGAAACGGGUUAAUAUUCCCGUACUUGGUGUUACUGCGAAGGGGGGACGGAGAAGGCUAUGUUGGCCGGGCGACGGUUGUCCCGGUUUAAGCGUGUAGGUGUGUGUUCCAGGUAAAUCCGGUUCACUUUAACACUGAGGCGUGAUGACGAGGCACUACGGUGCUGAAGCAACAAAUGCCCUGCUUCCAGGAAAAGCCUCUAAGCAUCAGGUAACAUCAAAUCGUACCCCAAACCGACACAGGUGGUCAGGUAGAGAAUACCAAGGCGCUUGAGAGAACUCGGGUGAAGGAACUAGGCAAAAUGGUGCCGUAACUUCGGGAGAAGGCACGCUGACACGUAGGUGAAGUGAUUUACUCAUGGAGCUGAAGUCAGUCGAAGAUACCAGCUGGCUGCAACUGUUUAUUAAAAACACAGCACUGUGCAAACACGAAAGUGGACGUAUACGGUGUGACGCCUGCCCGGUGCCGGAAGGUUAAUUGAUGGGGUCAGCGCAAGCGAAGCUCCUGAUCGAAGCCCCGGUAAACGGCGGCCGUAACUAUAACGGUCCUAAGGUAGCGAAAUUCCUUGUCGGGUAAGUUCCGACCUGCACGAAUGGCGUAAUGAUGGCCAGGCUGUCUCCACCCGAGACUCAGUGAAAUUGAACUCGCUGUGAAGAUGCAGUGUACCCGCGGCAAGACGGAAAGACCCCGUGAACCUUUACUAUAGCUUGACACUGAACAUUGAGCCUUGAUGUGUAGGAUAGGUGGGAGGCUUUGAAGUGUGGACGCCAGUCUGCAUGGAGCCGGCCUUGAAAUACCACCCUUUAAUGUUUGAUGUUCUAACGUGGACCCGUGAUCCGGGUUGCGGACAGUGUCUGGUGGGUAGUUUGACUGGGGCGGUCUCCUCCUAAAGAGUAACGGAG